rnacentral:rRNA from 1 species
GUCCACGGCCAUGUCACUCUGAACGUGCCCAAUCCCGUCUGAUCUUGGAAGCCAAGCAGGGUCGGGUCUACUUAGUACUUGGAUGGGAGAUCACCUAGGAAGACCAGGUGCUGUAGGCA